rfam:Lasius niger Lnig_2.1_5186, whole genome shotgun sequence.
AGUGUCCUUGUCUUUGGGGAGCAAAGUGUUCAAUGAUCGUUUAGUGAGAAUGCUGUUGCUGAAACCCAUUGUUAAAAUUAAUUAACUGCAUCCGUGUUUUAAACCACGAGAUGCAAUUUUUGGAAGG